ACGGGAUCGCAUGAUCUAGUGUGAAAAACUCCGGUGGUACAGGAUGGACCCGCGUCUGAUUAGCUGGUUGGUGAGGUAACGGCCCACCAAGGCAACGAUCAGUAGCCGGCCUGAGAGGGUGAACGGCCACAUUGGGACUGAGACACGGCCCAAACUCCUACGGGAGGCAGCAGUGGGGAAUAUUGCACAAUGGGGGAAACCCUGAUGCAGCGACGCCGCGUGAGUGAAGAAGUAUUUCGGUAUGUAAAGCUCUAUCAGCAGGGAAGAAAAUGACGGUACCUGACUAAGAAGCCCCGGCUAACUACGUGCCAGCAGCCGCGGUAAUACGUAGGGGGCAAGCGUUAUCCGGAUUUACUGGGUGUAAAGGGAGCGUAGACGGCAUGGCAAGUCUGAAGUGAAAUGCGGGGGCUCAACCCCUGAACUGCUUUGGAAACUGUCAGGCUGGAGUGCAGGAGAGGUAAGUGGAAUUCCUAGUGUAGCGGUGAAAUGCGUAGAUAUUAGGAGGAACACCAGUGGCGAAGGCGGCUUACUGGACUGUAACUGACGUUGAGGCUCGAAAGCGUGGGGAGCAAACAGGAUUAGAUACCCUGGUAGUCCACGCCGUAAACGAUGAUUACUAGGUGUUGGGGAUUAAUAAA
rnacentral:rRNA from 1 species